AAACAUCUAAGUACCCCGAGGAAAAGAAAUCAACCGAGAUUCCCCCAGUAGCGGCGAGCGAACGGGGAGCAGCCCAGAGCCUGAAUCAGUGUGUGUGUUAGUGGAAGCGUCUGGAAAGGCGCGCGAUACAGGGUGACAGCCCCGUACACAAAAAUGCACAUGCUGUGAGCUCGAUGAGUAGGGCGGGACACGUGGUAUCCUGUCUGAAUAUGGGGGGACCAUCCUCCAAGGCUAAAUACUCCUGACUGACCGAUAGUGAACCAGUACCGUGAGGGAAAGGCGAAAAGAACCCCGGCGAGGGGAGUGAAAAAGAACCUGAAACCGUGUACGUACAAGCAGUGGGAGCACGCUUAGGCGUGUGACUGCGUACCUUUUGUAUAAUGGGUCAGCGACUUAUAUUCUGUAGCAAGGUUAACCGAAUAGGGGAGCCGAAGGGAAACCGAGUCUUAACUGGGCGUUAAGUUGCAGGGUAUAGACCCGAAACCCGGUGAUCUAGCCAUGGGCAGGUUGAAGGUUGGGUAACACUAACUGGAGGACCGAACCGACUAAUGUUGAAAAAUUAGCGGAUG
rnacentral:rRNA from 1 species